AUUGAACGCUGGCGGCAGGCCUAACACAUGCAAGUCGAACGGUAGCACAGAGAGCUUGCUCUCGGGUGACGAGUGGCGGACGGGUGAGUAACGUCUGGGAAACUGCCCGAUGGAGGGGGAUAACUACUGGAAACGGUAGCUAAUACCGCAUAACGUCGCAAGACCAAAGUGGGGGACCUUCGGGCCUCACACCAUCGGAUGUGCCCAGAUGGGAUUAGCUAGUAGGUGGGGUAAUGGCUCACCUAGGCGACGAUCCCUAGCUGGUCUGAGAGGAGGACCAGCCACACUGGAACUGAGACACGGUCCAGACUCCUACGGGAGGCAGCAGUGGGGAAUAGUGCACAAUGGGCGCAAGCCUGAUGCAGCCAUGCCGCGUGUAUGAAGAAGGCCUUCGGGUUGUAAAGUACUUUCAGCGGGGAGGAAGGCGGUGAAGUUAAUAGCCUCACCGAUUGACGUUACCCGCAGAAGAAGCACCGGCUAACUCCGUGCCAGCCGCCGCCGUAA
rnacentral:rRNA from 1 species